rnacentral:rRNA from 1 species
CGGGCGUUAAGUUGCAGGGUAUAGACCCGAAACCCGGUGAUCUAGCCAUGGGCAGGUUGAAGGUUGGGUAACACUAACUGGAGGACCGAACCGACUAAUGUUGAAAAAUUAGCGGAUGACCUGUGGCUGGGGGUGAAAGGCCAAUCAAACCGGGAGAUAGCUGGUUCUCCCCGAAAGCUAUUUAGGUAGCGCCUCGUGAAUUCAUCUCCGGGGGUAGAGCACUGUUUCGGCUAGGGGGCCAUCCCGGCUUACCAACCCGAUGCAAACUGCGAAUACCGGAGAAUGUUAUCACGGGAGACACACGGCGGGUGCUAACGUCCGUCGUGAAGAGGGAAACAACCCAGACCGCCAGCUAAGGUCCCAAAGUCAUGGUUAAGUGGGAAACGAUGUGGGAAGGCCCAGACAGCCAGGAUGUUGGCUUAGAAGCAGCCAUCAUUUAAAGAAAGCGUAAUAGCUCACUGGUCGAGUCGGCCUGCGCGGAAGAUGUAACGGGGCUAAACCAUGCACCGAAGCUGCGGCAGCGACACUGUGUGUUGUUGGGUAGGGGAGCGUUCUG